rnacentral:rRNA from 1 species
AGAGUUUGAUCCUGGCUCAGAACGAACGCUGGCGGCAUGCCUCAUACAUGCAAGUCGAACGAAGGCUUCGGCCUUAGUGGCGCACGGGUGAGUAGCGCGUGGGAACCUACCCUUUUGUGGGGGAUAACCGAGGGAAACUUCGGCUAAUACCGCAUACGCCGGGUAACCGGGAAAGAUUUAUCGCAGAAGGAUGGGCCCGCGUCGGAUUAGCUAGUUGGUGGGGUAAUGGCCUACCAAGGCAAUGAUCCGUAGCUGGUCUGAGAGGAUGAUCAGCCACACUGGGACUGAGACACGGCCCAGACUCCUACGGGAGGCAGCAGUAGGGAAUAUUGGACAAUGGGCGAAAGCCUGAUCCAGCAAUGCCGCGUGAGUGAGGAAGGCCUUAGGGUUGUAAAGCUCUUUCGGCGGGGACGAUGAUGACGGUACCCGCAGAAGAAGCCCCGGCUAACUUCGUGCCAGCAGCCGCGGUAAUACGAAGGGGGCGAGCGUUGUUCGGAAUUACUGGGCGUAAAGGGCGCGUAGGCGGCCAUCUUUGUCAGGCGUGAAAGCCCUGGGCUCAACCCAGGAAUUGCGCUUGGGACGGGUUGGCUUGAGUUCGGGAGAGGAGAGUGGAAUUCCCAGUGUAGAGGUGAAAUUCGUAGAUAUUGGGAAGAACACCGGUGGCGAAGGCGGCUCUCUGGACCGAUACUGACGCUGAGGCGCGAAAGCGUGGGGAGCAAACAGGAUUAGAUACCCCCGUAGUCC